rnacentral:rRNA from 1 species
AUUGAACGCUGGCGGCAUGCCUAACACAUGCAAGUCGAACGAGUGGCGGACGGGUGAGUAAUAUAUGGGAAACUGCCUGGUGGCGGGGGAUAACUACUGGAAACGGUAGCUAAUACCGCAUACCAUCGGAUGUGCCCAGAUGGGAUUAGCUAGUUGGUGGGGUAAAGGCUCACCAAGGCGACGAUCCCUAGCUGGUCUGAGAGGAUGACCAGCCACACGGGAACUGAGACACGGUCCAGACUCCUACGGGAGGCAGCAGUGGGGAAUAUUGGACAAUGGGGGAAAGCCUGAUGCAGCCAUGCCGCGUGUAUGAAGAAGGCCUUCGGGUUGUAAAGUACUUUCAGCGGGGAGGCGUUACCUGCAGAAUAAGCACCGGCUAACUACGUGCCAGCAGCCGCGGUAAUUC